AUGCAGAAAAAUGCAAAUUUUAAUAAAAUACCAUGGCAAUUUUGGAUAUGGAUUUGCCAUGGUAUUUUAUUAAAAUAUUGCCAGGGUCCUUUAUUUUUCAUUUUUGUAGUUCUCCAUCCAUUUGUGUCCUCGGCAUUUCUACAAACAGGCAAUGGGCAGCGCCGAAGGACAUGGCAUCCUUGGCGGGGCUCGCCGGAGCAGGCUAUGGCGCAGACGAGGUUGCAGAAGGUGAUGGCGGCUCACGACGCCCGUGUCCACGAGGCUGGAAACAAGCUCUGGCUGCUGGAGGUGUGCGCUGAUACGUCUCCAAUGUAUCUAUAA
rnacentral:rRNA from 1 species